rnacentral:rRNA from 1 species
UACGUAGGUGGCAAGCGUUGUCCGGAUUUAUUGGGUUUAAAGGGUGCGUAGGCGGCCUUGUAAGUCAGUGGUGAAAUACUCCAGCUCAACUGGAGGGGUGCCAAUGAUACUGCAGGGCUUGAGUACAGAUGAGGUAGGCGGAAUUGACGGUGUAGCGGUGAAAUGCAUAGAUAUCGUCAAGAACACCGAUAGCGAAGGCAGCUUACUGGGCUGUAACUGACGCUGAGGCACGAAAGUGUGGGGAUCAAACAGG